UACGGAGGGUGCAAGCGUUGUCCGGAUUUAUUGGGUUUAAAGGGUGCGUAGGCGGCCCGUUAAGUCAGUGGUGAAAGCCUCCAGCUCAACUGGAGAACUGCCAUUGAUACUGACGGGCUUGAGUACAGACGAGGUUGGCGGAAUUGAUUGUGUAGCGGUGAAAUGCAUAGAGAUGUGGAGGAACACCGAUGGCGAAGGCAGCCCCCUGGGCUAACACUGACGCUCAGGCACGAAAGCGUGGGGAGCAAACAGG
rnacentral:rRNA from 1 species